GCAAAAAUAUAUAAAAUACUGCAUGUUCAUAUAAAGAAAUUGUGUCUGUUAAAAACACUUGCAUAUAUUCACAUAAUUACACACCUAUAUGUAUAUAUGUGCGUACAGCAAAUAUCCUAAAAGGGUAUUUACACAAAUUAGCGUUUCCAAACACACAGGCAGGGAGAGGGGCACCAAUCAGAGGGUGAGUGAAGGUCACGUGGCUGUCACUGCGCACAGCCAAUCAGAAGGCACUGUGAAAACAGCGCCCACUCCCUGCCACGAAAUGGCAGCUGACACAAAAUGGCGGCUCCCAGUGUAUGCAAGGGGACGGGCUUCCUGUUCAAUGAACCAAUGGGAGAGCUGGAGGUGUGGGCUGGUUCUGGCAGCCAAUCCCACCAGGGUAGGUGUGCUCAGGAGGGAGGAGCUCUGGGACACGCUGCCUUGGAGGUGGGGCUGGCGGGAGCAUCUUGCGGGACUGAGGAAAAUCUCCUCCUCAGCUAAGCUCAUGCAGCCAGCAGCCCAGUGCAUAGAGCCAUUCACAGGCCUUGGUGUGCUGCAGGAGGAGGGUGUUGAUCUGUUGGAGUGUUCCUUGCCGUAGGAGGGCCUCUCUGUCUGGCAGCCAGUGGCAGGGAAGGCAGCACGUGGAGCUGGAGGUUGUGCCUGCUGCAGCUCUGCUCAGCUGAGCCACGUGGGCCCCUGUUCCUGAGAAAAGUUGCUGUGCUCCACUGUCUGUUAUCUUGCAGGUUUAUCUUUCAUAACUUCUUGAGCAAUAACCGUAAGUUAGCUUAGCAGUGCACUCAGAGUGCAGCACAUGGUCCCCGCCAUGAAAUGGCGGCUGACACAAAAUGGUGACUCCCAGUGUAUGCAAGGGGACGGGCUUCCUGUUCAAGUGACCACUGGGAGAGCUGGAG
ensembl:lncRNA